rnacentral:rRNA from 1 species
UACAGGGGGGGCAAGCGUUGUUCGGAAUUACUGGGCGUAAAGGGCCAGUAGGCGGCCAACUAAGUCACACGUGAAAUCCCCAGGCUUAACCUGGGAACUGCGUCCGAUACUGGCAGGCUUGAAUUCGGGAGAGGGAUGCGGAAUUCCAGGUGUAGCGGUGAAAUGCGUAGAUAUCUGGAGGAACACCGGUGGCGAAGGCGGCAUCCUGGACCGAGAUUGACGCUGAUGCGCGAAAGCCAGGGGAGCAAACGGG